GGGCGAAUAGCUCAGUUGGUAGAGCACCGCCCUUACAAGGCGGCCGUCACAGGUUCGAGCCCUGUUUCGCCCA
rnacentral:tRNA from 1 species